CGUGCCGCGCGCGCUUUGUUGGAAGCAUUUUUCUUUUGUUUUUGGACAUUAUGACGCAAGUUUUAGUGAAAUCGCUCUAUGAUGAUAAGUGAGAUGUUUAUCCGUUGAAGACGUUUGCUGACGCAGCUACUGGUCUUCGGGUGAUGUUCGAGCCUGGCAGUUUUGAUGAGUUGCGCGGCAGAAUUCAUGAUGGAAGGAAGGCGAACAAAGCCGCAGCCUGACUUCUGCACACAGGCAAACCGCAUGCCCUGGAGCGAAAGCGCGCGAAGCUAGCGCUUGCUGCCGCCGCUGCUUCGAUUGAAAUGUUACACAUGCACCAAAUGCCCAGGUGCUAACGUGUCGUUCGUCAAGAACAGCUUGGCGUCGUUUCUCGCAAGAGACAUCCAUUGAUCUG